GUGAACAACGAAGGGCGCGCGGUGGAUGCCUAGGCUCUCGGAGGCGAUGAAGGACGCGAUAAGCCGCGAUAGGCCACGGCGAGGUGCAAGUAACCCUUGACCCGUGGAUUUCCGAAUGGGGCAACCCGGCCGUCUAGAUGACGGUCAUGCAGUAAUGCAAGCGAACGCGGGGAACUGAAACAUCUCAUUACCCGCAGGAGAAGAAAACAAAAUGUGAUUCCCCCAGUAGUGGCGAGCGAACGGGGAAGAGCCCAAACCGUUGCCGUUUCGGCGACAGCGGGGUCAUGGGACCGCGAUAUUCGACGGAAGACGAAGUGCAAUUACCUGGAAAGGUAAGCCGUGGAGGGUGACAGCCCCGUGCACGACACCUCUUUCGAAGAUAGCGGUAUCCCGAGUAGGGCGGGACACGAGAAAUCCUGCCUGAAUUCGCCAGGACCGCCUGGCAAGGCUAAAUACUCCCGAGAGACCGAUAGUGAACCAGUACCGCGAGGGAAAGGUGAAAAGUACCCCGAGCAGGGGGGUGAAAUAGACCCUGAACCCGCGCGCCUACAAGCGGUCGGAGCCGGGUAAUCCGGUGACGGCGUGCCUUUUGCAUAAUGAGCCUACGAGUUAGUCGUCACCAGCGAGGUUAAGGGCUUCAGGCCCGUUAGCCGAAGUGAAAGCGAGCCUUAACAGGGCGUCGAGUUGGUGGCGCUAGACGCGAAACCUUGUGAUCUACCCACGAGCAGGUUGAAGUCGCGGUAACACGUGAUGGAGGACCGAACCGGUAAACGUUGAAAAGUUUUCGGAUGACUCGCGGGUAGGGGUGAAAGGCCAAUCAAACUGGGAAAUAGCUCGUACUCUCCGAAAUGCAUUUAGGUGCAGCCUCUGUUGUUUUGUUCUAGAGGUAGAGCUACUGAUUGGAUGCGAGGGCUUCACCGCCUAUCAAAUCCGGCCAAACUCCGAAUGCUAGAACAUGAAGACAGGGAGUGAGCCAGCGGGUGCUAAGGUCCGUUGACGAAAGAGGGAGAACUCAGACCAUCAGCUAAGGUCCCCAAUUGUAUGCUAAGUUGGAAUUAAAACGGGGUGGGACUGCUUAGACAGCUAGGAUGUUGGCUUGGAAGCAGCCAUUCAUUUAAAGAGUGCGUAACAGCUCACUAGUCGAGCGGUCCUGCAUGGAUAAUACGCGGGCAUAAGCAUAUAACCGAAGCUAUGGGAUUGUAGAUGAUACAAUCGGUAGGAGAGCAUUCCAUUCAGCGUAGAAGCAGUACCGUGAGGUAUUGUGGAGCGGAUGGAAAAGCAAAUGUAGGCAUAAGUAACGAUAAUGCGGGUGAGAACCCCGCACGCCGAAAGAUCAAGGAUUCCCCGGCAAUGUCAAUCAUCCGGGGGUAAGUCGGAUCCUAAGGGUAAGCCGAGUGGCGAUCCCGAUGGCAAACAGGUUAAUAUUCCUGUACUGAUCAUAACUGCGAUGCAGCGACGCAGAGGUGACACUGCUGCGUACUGACGGAAUAGUACGUUGAAACCCGUAUUCUUUGAUACCGGUAGUGAAGCACGCCGGUAGAGAUGAAAGGUGAUAGUACCGCAAUGCUUCGGUUGCGCGGAUAAUGCAGGUAAGCUGACUGCCAAGAAAACCUGCUAAGCUUCAGGUAAUGAUCAUCCGUACUGUAAACGGACACACGUGAUCAGGUAGAAAAUACUAAGGCGCUCGAGAGAUUCAUGGUUAAGGAACUAGGCAAAAUGGUCCUGUAACUUCGGGAUAAAGGACGCUCUUGUGAAAGAGCCGCAGAUAAUAGGCCCAGGCGACUGUUUACCAAAAACACAUGGCUAUGCUAAUUCGCAAGAAGAUGUAUAUGGCCUGACACCUGCCCGGUGCCGGAAGGUUAAGAGGAGAGCUCAGAGGCAACUCGAAGGUUUGAAUUGAAGCCCCGGUAAACGGCGGCCGUAACUAUAACGGUCCUAAGGUAGCGAAAUUCCUUGUCGGGU
rnacentral:rRNA from 1 species